rnacentral:rRNA from 1 species
CUAGCGACUUCUAGAGUUUGAUCCUGGCUCAGGAUGAACGCUGGCGGCGUGCCUAACACAUGCAAGUCGAACGGGACUAUUUGGUAGAUGAUUUCGGUCUGAUCCUUAUAGUUUAGUGGCGGACGGGUGAGUAACGCGUGGACAACCUGCCUUUCACAGGGGGAUAGCAGCUGGAAACGGCUGGUAAUACCGCAUACGCUCAAUACACCGCAUGGUGUAAUGAGGAAAGAUUUAUCGGUGAAAGAUGGAUCCGCGUCUGAUUAGCCAGUUGGCGGGGUAACGGCCCACCAAAGCGACGAUCAGUAGCCGGCCUGAGAGGGCGGACGGCCACAUUGGGACUGAGACACGGCCCAG